rnacentral:rRNA from 1 species
GAUCAUGGCCCAGGAUGAACGCUAGCUACAGGCUUAACACAUGCAAGUCGAGGGGCAGCAUGACCUAGCAAUAGGUUGAUGGCGACCGGCGCACGUGUGAGUAACACGUAUCCAACCUACCGGUUAUUCCGGGAUAGCCUUUCGAAAGAAAGAUUAAUACCGGAUAGUAUAACGAGAAGGCAUCUUCUUGUUAUUAAAGAAUUUCGAUAACCGAUGGGGAUGCGUUCCAUUAGUUUGUUGGCGGGUAACGGCCC